rnacentral:sRNA from 1 species
GGUAAGUUUUUGUAAAUGAUUACACAUUGUUUAAAAUUUCUAUAAUGGUUAUAUUGAGUCUUACUUAUAUAUUUUGUUAGUUUUUUUUUUUGUACGCAUCAAAUGCACUUUAAACCAUUUAAAUGGAUAUGAAAGAAAAAGCUAGCAUAUUAUGGAUAGUAGAGUCAAUUGCAAGAUAAUAAUAGGUAUGACCACAAUAAUUAUAUAACUAU